ensembl:antisense 1700071M16Rik RIKEN cDNA 1700071M16 gene
AGAAACCAAGGGAACCUCUUCUAAUAACCUGUGGCUCUCCAACUUCUCUACUUUAGGAACCUGUUCACCUGGAAUUUAGGAGUCACAGAUCUGUGGGUAUAGACAGUGUGAGAUCAUCCUCAAGUUACCUGCUGUGCUCUCCAAAGGACACAGACUGAGACCCAUGUGCGUCACCGCUCUUUAAGAUGAACAGGCAGAAAGGGCCAUGUCCCUUUGGACCUCUAGAGUCCAGACUGUCAUCUUCUUGCAAGCCUCUUCACCUCCGCAGGACCAGGUUUGCUUGUCAAGACACAAGACCAAUCCUACCUUCAUGGAACAGCGAUGAAGCUGCCUUGUAAACUCCAAGGAUCUCUCACCAAAGCUGAAGCACAUUAUGUCAUCUAUAAUGGUUUUCCAAUAAGCUUCAGGGAUCCUCCCGUUUCUACACCCCUCCCCCCAUAACAAAGAAAUCUCACAUCAGUGGUGGCGAUCCAAACUCAUGACCUCAUGCUUGCACAGUGGCUACUUCAUCACCUGGGCCAUCCCCCCAGUCCUUGCAUUCUCACAUAUCAAAACAUGCAACAUCUUAAAGUUGCUCAGAGAGUAAUGCCUCUUACCUGACGGCCUGAAGUCAAAAGAAGAUGUGUCUUGCCAGUGAAAAGGAUGGACCCAUGGGAGGCAGCAGAGGAGGCAGAAAAGCACCUGCAGUUUGAGUGGUACCAUCUUAGGAGCUGAGCAGUGGCUUCAGUUUGAUGUUCUUCAGAGCAGAUAAUUAAAAGAAAAGAAAU